UCAGCAUUUAUUUGAUCAAACAUACAGUGAAAGCAGUAAUAUUGUGAAAUAUUAUUACAAUUUAAAUGCCUAUUUUCUCUUUAAAUAUACUUUAAAAUGUCUAAAGUGUCACAUGAUUCUUCAGAAAUUAUUCUAAUAUGAGAAUUUGCUGCUCAAGGAACAUUUUUUAAAGAGGUCAUCGGAUGCAAAAUUUCCACAAACUGAUAUGAUUCUUAAUAUAUGAUUCUUAAUAAGAUCUUAAUGAAAAGUCUGUAACAUAUUUUAGUUAAAAUGUCUUAAUGGUAGUGUAAAACAACAACUUUUUUUACCCUGUCAAAUACAACUCUUUGCAGAGCAAGCCGUUUUGUAGCAUUUUCCUUUAAAUGUUAAUGAGCUCUGCUGACCCCACCCCUCUCUUCCAUGCUGCUCUCAGAGAGACUGUUUACUAUAAGUGCAUUCAUCUGAAACUUGCUAAUUAGCACAUUAUUUGGAAAGAUGAUUUGCAAAGAUUCAUUAAAAAAUAUUUUACUCACGUCUUCUGUUGGUGAAGCUGGGUUGCGAAUUAUUGGCUUGAACAUAGAUGCAUUUAUGUAGAUCGGGGGCUUAUUCCCUUCAAAAACAAAUGUAAUCCACUGCAUCUUCAGUGGCUCACAUGUCAAGAGUAAAUGACGGCUGCUAUGCUCAUUAUUACAUCCAACAACAGAACACCUCAAUCGUUUAGGAAUCAUUCUUGAGAUCGGCUCAAUUUGAGAAAGGGGAAAUUAUUUAAUGAGAUUAAAUAAAAACCACUGGGUGCAACAAGACAUUUAGCCCAGGGUUCAAUAUGUACCUCCAUUUUAAAAUUAUUUAAAACUGUAAUACACUUCUGUACGCUAUAUAAAAAAACAUGGAUUACUUCAAAAUUCUUUUGAGAGAAGUAUUAUUUUUGUGGAUUGGCCAUUAUUAGGCACUAUUAACACAUGUAAUAUCUGUUUCAUUCAUUCUGGCAGCCGGAAGGGCACCCUCAUGCAGAAACUUCACAUAUACAUCUCAGAAAUAAUAGAACUGAUGACACUCAAGGAAACCCCUAAUAUGGACAUCCUGCUAGAAACAUUUUGAAUGAUGAAACAUGAAGACAAUAAACACUCGAUUGUGACAAUGUAUAGUGUUCUUCAAGCCAUUUAGUGUAUUUUCAUAAUGAUGUAUAUUUAUAAUCCAUUGGCUGUCGAUUUUACAGUACAUAUAUUCACAGAAUAUAGAAUAUAUUUUCUGUGUCAUUUUGUGAAAAGAAGCCACGUCAGAUCACAAAAGGAAGUUAUUUCAAACAUUCUGACUGUUGUAGAGUGAAAGCGUGUUAUAAUAUACUCUUUUGGUUUAGAAAUGCUUCUAAUUACAAGACAUCACAUGCCAAACAUCUUUCUUUGUAGUGUUUUUUCAAAUGCAUGUUAUAAGCAGGACAGCGUUUGGUCAUCUCAGUGAUUAGACUCAUGAGCAGACAAACAGAGCCAGUUCAAAAAUUAUUUAAACGCAAAGCCAAAAAAACACAAUUCACAAGCACAUAUUGAACCAUGGAUGUCGUACCCAAUGGUUCAAUUUUAUAUCGAGAAUUGUGGCAUCUCUAAUAAAUAAAUAAAUAAAUAUAUAUAUAAAAAACUUUUUAUAGCAACUAAAAAGCUUCAAUUUCCCUCAGCAUCUUUUUUUUUUUUUAUAAUCAAACAAUGGAUGUUGAGAUUUUGUCUCUCUGUGGUAAAUCGGUGAAAGUAAAUAUCAGACCUAUGCAGGCUACCGACAGUACGUAAAGUGUGCUGUGGUGUCCGAGGAACACAAUUUCUUGAGGUUUAGCAAAGUAUUUGAUAUUUACAUAUUUGUCAGCUGUGCGUCAUAGGGCGCUUGUAUCUGUGUAUUACAAGCUGUUUGUCUGAAAUGAAUUCAGUGUUAAGGGAGUUUAAGGGAACUGAUGCAUUUAGUGCUUCGCAUUACACCCACAUAUUUCCAUUUUUAUUAUAAUUAUCAUCAAACGCAUUACCAGCAUUACCAAGGAGUUUGUUUUGAAUAGAAGCACUAUUAAUGCAUUACUGUUGGCAUUGCUCAUACUUUUCAUAAAACUCUGUGAGAAACCCGUCCUGCACUGUUUUUUGGCGCUGAUAUAAAUGAUAUAUUAAGCUCUGAUUUUAACAACAUCAUAUGGCUCCUUUAAAUAUUACUUUGAAAAUGAAUGAAUUUAAAAAUAACAAAUUAUUUAUUUAAAUUAUUAACUGAAUACGGUUCAUAGGUAUUAUUUCUUCUUCAUUCUCAUGCUUACAAUGGCUGCAUUUAGUCGUAUUAUAACCAAAAUACAGUUGUGCUGCUAUAUAUUUUUUGAGGAAAUCCUGACCCUUUUUUUUCAGUAUUUUUUAUAGCAUUAUAAAUGAAUUUAGAUUCAUUUAAUGCAUGCUUACUAAAAUAAAAGUUUUCAUUUUGUAUUUUUGAAUGGUAGUCUACAGAUCUUGAAAGUCACACUUUAAUUCUCCUCACAACAUUAAAAAUACAGUCAAGAAGAUGUUCUGCACAAAGGAGCCAAAAUGUGAACCAUCAAAGAAUAUGACAUGUUUUCAAAAACAGAUCUGUCAUUCUUGCACAACAGUCUUGCUCUGAUAAACAGCUCGUUUCCUCAAAAACUCAGUGACUCAUUGGUAUUUCUAAGUCUCGCAGACUGUUCACAGCUCAUGUACCAAAACCUCAUUCAUUCAUUUUGCUUUAAGUUGAGAGAGUUCGUCUAGAGCUACAGUUGCAUUUACACAACGCUUAAUCUGCAAGUCUCGUGGAUGACUUUAACUCUAGAGGGCAGUGUUAUCUCAUUUAUUGAGAUAACGUCAUAUCUUUAAUUAAUCUUGUUUCUAUAUCUUCUAGCAGAUUAAAUAUGUGCCAGGUGUACAUCAUGAAGAUACUUCAGACUUUCAGAGAGGGACAACAAGAUAUAUUUCGGAGACAUUCCUGCACCUGAGGUCCAAAAAACAUCCUGAACAUCUUGUGUGACCAGAACGGCGGUCUGUAAAAUUGAAGACGGAUUGAUAAGAAUCUGGAGGAAAUGUACUCCGGUACAGAGCAGAAAAUUAACGCCAAGCAGAGGAGCAGCCAACAAGAAGCAGGUCCAACAACAUGCCUCUCAGCACGAGCGGGAAGUCUAAUUUUCACAUCUGCUCAAGUGAGAGGCUUAAAUCAACAAUCACUUAAGAUAACAAGACUAUAUAAAUUACAAUGGCAAUGAAUUUAAUGAGCAGAGCUCUUAAACAUCCAAUAUUGUGAGCGUUUGAAGGUCCCUGAAGAGUUGAGCAACUGUGGUGCGUAACCAAUGACUCAAAGAAGUGGCAGAAGUUCAGGUCUCUGUUCCACAAAAAGCUUAAACGAAUUCUGUAUUCCUGGCAACUAGUGAUGAUGGCACAUCCUAGAAGAUAUUUAUCUUCAUUUAUGAACAUUGCACACGUUGUUCUGUUAAUUAUCAAUAUUGAUGGCCAGGAGAUAAGGUAAUGAGUAAAUACUAUGUGUUAUUAUUUCCAUGGGAAGCAUCACUUUCACUAUAGACUUACAAAUGAUUUUCACUUAGUAGGCAAUAAAACAGGUGGAAAAUCUCACACACAUAGACAUUCACAG